rnacentral:rRNA from 1 species
UUUGUUUGGAGAGUUUGAUCCUGGCUCAGGACGAACGCUGGCGGCGUGCUUAACACAUGCAAGUCGAACGGAAAGGCCCUUUCGGGGGUGCUCGAGUGGCGAACGGGUGAGUAACACGUGGGUGAUCUGCCCUGCACUUUGGGAUAAGCCUGGGAAACUGGGUCUAAUACCGAAUAGGACCAUGGGAUGCAUGUCUUGUGGUGGAAAGCUUUUGCGGUGUGGGAUGGGCCCGCGGCCUAUCAGCUUGUUGGUGGGGUGAUGGCCUACCAAGGCGACGACGGGUAGCCGGCCUGAGAGGGUGUCCGGCCACACUGGGACUGAGAUACGGCCCAGACUCCUACGGGAGGCAGCAGUGGGGAAUAUUGCACAAUGGGCGCAAGCCUGAUGCAGCGACGCCGCGUGGGGGAUGACGGCCUUCGGGUUGUAAACCCCUUUCAGUACCGACGAAGCGUAAGUGACGGUAGGUACAGAAGAAGCACCGGCCAACUACGUGCCAGCAGCCGCGGUAAUACGUAGGGUGCGAGCGUUGUCCGGAAUUACUGGGCGUAAAGAGCUCGUAGGUGGUUUGUCGCGUUGUCCGUGAAAACUCACAACUCAAUUGUGGGCGUGCGGGCGAUACGGGCAGACUGGAGUACUGCAGGGGAGACUGGAAUUCCUGGUGUAGCGGUGGAAUGCGCAGAUAUCAGGAGGAACACCGGUGGCGAAGGCGGGUCUCUGGGCAGUAACUGACGCUGAGGAGCGAAAGCGUGGGGAGCGAACAGGAUUAGAUACCCUGGUAGUCCACGCCGUAAACGGUGGGUACUAGGUGUGGGUUUCCUUCCUUGGGAUCCGUGCCGUAGCUAACGCAUUAAGUACCCCGCCUGGGGG